CAAAAGAUAAGCUGGCUAACUUAGUAAAAGCUGGCAAGAAACAAGCCAAGGGAAAGAGACCGUGCCUUCAUCUCAGCCUGGCCCUGGAGAUCACUUGACACAUCUGCGUGUGGCCCAUACAUGCAAAUAUGGGAAGACCUCGUAGCUUCCUCCAGGCAUGGCAGAUUGUAUCCCUGGAACUUACCAAGUAGGCUGGAUUGGCUGGUCAAUGAGCCUGAGAAUAUGCCUGUCUGCACCUGCCCAUGCUGGAAUUACAAGCAGCUGCCACUCUGCGCGGAUUCAACUCAGGUCCUCACACCUGCAA